AAUUUCUGGUUUUUCCUGUUGGAGCCCAAGGAGCAAGGGCAGAAUGAGGAACAUGAU
rnacentral:lncRNA from 1 species